UGUUGAGGCGGAGAUGGCUACAGACACGAUGCUAGACUCUACAUUUGCGCGAUGGGCAUUCGCCCAAAAAAUAGCACGAGUAACUUAAAGAAACACCUGGACCGGUGCCACGCUAACACUAAGCUGAGAGAGAGGGAUGCACCUGUGGAGAAGAGAAAGAAACAAGAGGACGAGCAUACAGGACAGACAAAGCAACAAAAGUUAAGUUUCUCUCGGUCUGGCAUGAUUGUUGAAGCCAGAGAAGUGAGGAGACUGGUGGCAGAAUUUAUUGUGAAAUACAUGCCCUCCCUAUCAACGGUAGAAUCGCCAGCGUUCAGACAGAUUGUCCGCAAAAUCCCCGUGAACACCAGCAACGACAAGGAUCACACCAAACAAAGACUCGUCUCCUUGAUGUGUACCAACCAAUCGAUGAGACUAAUGACAGCCUGUGAUCUUGAUAGCGGUUACAAAGGGACGUAGACCUCCUUGUGCAGUUUUGGCAAAGGACGCUUCCUCUAUCCUCUGAAAACAACAGUGGGAGCACCAUUUCAAACCUGUCAGGCCAGGACUCAAACGCAGAGAGAGAUACAACUGAAGCUGACUGUAUUGAAUGAACAACAACAACAAAAAAA